UCGUGCCAGCAGCCGCGGUUAUACGAUUGAUGCAAGUGAAUAUUAUUGGUUAAAACAGUUGUUUAUAUUUUUAGGGUUAAAGUAUAAAUUUUUAAGGUGAAAUGUUAAAAUUUAUUUAUAGCUCUUUUUAUGAAUCUGUGAAAUUUAAAUAAUAAACUAGGAUUAGAUACCCUAUUAUUUUAAAUGUUAAUUAUAUUUACCAGGGUACUAUUAGUUAAGGUCUUUAAACCCAAAGAAUUUGGCGGUAUCUCAUUCCAUUCAGAGGAACCUACCCCGUGAUUGAUAAUACNCGAUUUACUCUACUUAAUUUAUUUGUUUGUAUAUCUCCGUUAUCAGAGAAUCUUUUUAGAGUUAUAAUUCUCAAGAUUUAUAAUUAUAAAAUAUUUCAGGUCAAGGUGCAGCUUAUAGUUAAGAGGAGGUGGGUUACAAUAGGUUUUUGUUUAUANNGGAUUUGAUGGUGAAAUACUAUUAAUGAANNNN
rnacentral:rRNA from 1 species